rnacentral:lncRNA from 1 species
GAGGUACUGAAAACUCUUCUUGCCUGGGUCAGCACAGACGCUCAGAGUUGUUGACUCUACCAAUGGUAUCAUCUUUCAAGCUGAAGCUGAGUAAUAGAUAUUUUGGCUGGGAUUUUUCUAGAGCCAUCCUAAACCUCGGUAGCACCUGGUGAACAAGGAGAUGAAAUUAACCCUCAUUAGGCUUUAUCAUAAAAAGAGCAUGUUUGGCUGCAAUAGGUCUUCCUAAUCUGGUUUUCAUUCCUCAGAAACCACACAUUGGCCUACCAUGAAUACUCUGCAUCAGGCAGCAGGAGGAAGUGUUUUUGUGAGCUGUAAUUGAAAGGCUAUUUAUACCCCACAUGCAAUUAUCAGCUCUCUGUUCCUAGCUCUUAAAGAUGCCUAGUUUGAAGA